UACGUAGGGUGCAAGCGUUAAUCGGAAUUACUGGGCGUAAAGCGUGCGCAGGCGGUUUUGUAAGACAGGUGUGAAAUCCCCGGGCUUAACCUGGGAACUGCAUUUGUGACUGCAAAGCUGGAGUGCGGCAGAGGGGGAUGGAAUUCCGCGUGUAGCAGUGAAAUGCGUAGAUAUGCGGAGGAACACCGAUGGCGAAGGCAAUCCCCUGGGCCUGCACUGACGCUCAUGCACGAAAGCGUGGGGAGCAAACAGG
rnacentral:rRNA from 1 species